UAGGGAAUCUUCGGCAAUGGACGAAAGUCUGACCGAGCAACGCCGCGUGAGUGAAGAAGGUUUUCGGAUCGUAAAACUCUGUUGUUAGAGAAGAACAAGGACGUUAGUAACUGAACGUCCCCUGACGGUAUCUAACCAGAAAGCCACGGCUAACUACGUGCCAGCAGCCGCGGUAAUACGUAGGUGGCAAGCGCUGUCCGGAUUUAUUGGGCGUAAAGCGAGCGCAGGCGGUUUGUUAAGUCUGAUGUGAAAGCCCCCGGCUCAACCGGGGAGGGUCAUUGGAAACUGGGAGACUUGAGUACAGAAGAGUGGAGUGGAAUUCCAUGUGUAGCGGUGAAAUGCGUAGAUAUAUGAAGGAACACCAGUGGCGAAGGCGGCUCUCUGUUCUGUAACUGACGCUGAGGCUCGAAAGCGUGGGGAGCAAACAGG
rnacentral:rRNA from 1 species